UGAUACUAGAUGUUGAGGUACGCCCAUU
rnacentral:sRNA from 1 species